CUGAACUAGGUGAUGGGCACCAACUGGUGAACAAGAUGGACACAAGGCCUUCCUCAGUGGCAGGGAUCUCAAGAUCCCUUCUUGAUCUAAGAUUCUCUAAAUGGGAUGGAAUGCCUAGACAGAACAGCGGGAAUGGAGACACAUGCCCUGAUAAAGGUACA
rnacentral:lncRNA from 1 species